UACUGGACUUUAUCAUCAGGAAAAAGCACCUAUCUUCUGAUUUUGUUUGAAGGAAUACAGUGAAGUUGGCAGUCCCCGCGCGCUUUCUUUUUGUGCUAACGUUUUUACCCACUACUGUUGAUAUAUGCGCGUUCAGGACUGGGACACUUGAAGAUUACGCUGGUUUUGACGUGGUCUGGUGGACAAUAAGAACAGGAUUAGGUGUCUCCAGUCAUCCUACUUCUCUUUACUCCAUUCUUAUGCACCACGACCUCCGCUGCACUUGGGAUGCAGCAUUGAUAAGGCUUCUGUGAACAUGACUAAGUGACAACAUGAGCUGUGAUGACUGGAACUCCACACAGCACUUCAGAUUAAGAAGCCUUGCCGCGCCACUCUAUUCACCGCUCCAGACUUCAUUAAGGAACUACUUUUUCAAUGCAGCCCUGGAGAACGUGGAAGGACACACUGAAGCUGCGUCAUUGCUCAUUGUGCCCUUGUUAUUGAGCGCCAUUGAACAAAGGAGUCAACAGAGGAGGGCUUUUCUUCAGGAAGCCGAACUGUGCGCGAAUAAUUGCUUUUUCAAUACAUUCAGGUGCCUUUUGAGAAUUUCAUCAUAAACAAGAGAACUUCAAAAGGAGCGGUCAUUACUUAAGAUAAAAUAUAUAUUACAUGUGCUUCUGUUUCUGUUUUUUGUUCCUUUUUUUUUCUCCUUUUUCAAUUUUUAUCAAGCCUAGCCGGCCAGUACCCCCAGUUAGAAGGAUG